CUUGCGUAUGUCAGCGUAUACCAGCGUAUGAGUGAUAUUUUUCAUACGCUGGCAUACGCUAGUACGAUACGCAAUAGAUGUGACAGGGCCUUAACACAAAAAAAAAACAUUUCACUCUUUUCUAUUAAGGAGAGGGGUCUGCGGUUUUAGUACUAAUUCAUUUGUCUUCACCAUGCACAAAUUUUCACAAAAAAGAACGAAAAGAUAGAGCAAAGCUUUAUACAUAAACUUUAUCCGAGUUUUUACAUCUUAUCUUGAUUUACUAUGAUUUACGAUUUUGCAUUGUACGGUCAGCAAUGCUUUGGAAUGUGGAUGGGAUGAAAUUUAUAUUUUCGUCUAUUAGUAUAAAAUACAAUAAAUAAAUUUAGUGGACGUAAUUGACACUUAUAAGUAAUUAAAUAUUUUAAUUAAUGAUUGGGAAUAACUAAGGACCUUGGGCAAUAUACAGUAUAACGGUUAGUAGUACAGACAUCGCGUUCACUUGAUCUCGAGUCAUUUGGAUGUAUGCAGGUUAUAAGGUGUUCUGUAGGGGUUAUAUAGUUGAUUACACGCAAGUGCAAAUGAAUAAAAAGCAAUUAUAUAGAGUG